rnacentral:rRNA from 1 species
UACGGAGGAUCCAAGCGUUAUCCGGAAUCAUUGGGUUAAAGGGUCCGUAGGCGGUUUAAUAAGUCAGUGGUGAAAGCCCAUCGCUCAACGGUGGAACGGCCAUUGAUACUGUUAAACUUGAAUUAUUAGGAAGUAACUAGAAUAUGUAGUGUAGCGGUGAAAUGCUUAGAGAUUACAUGGAAUACCAAUUGCGAAGGCAGGUUACUACUAAUGGAUUGACGCUGAUGGACGAAAGCGUGGGUAGCGAAACAGG